AGCAGCCGCCGCGGUAAAACGGGGGGGGCAAGUGUUAUUCGGAAUGACUGGGCGUAAAGGGCACGUAGGCGGUGAAAAGGGUGGAAAGUGAAAGUCGCCAAAACACUGGCGGGGUGCUUUCUUGACCAUUUCACUUGAGUGAGAUAGGGGAGAGUGGAAUUUCGUGUGGAGGGAUCAAAUCCUAAGAUAUACGAAGGAACGCCAACCGCGAAGGCAGCUCUCUGGGUCCCCACUGACGCUGGGGUGCGAAAGCAUGGGGAGCAAACAGGAUCAGAUACCCCCGUAGUCCCUGUCUCUUAUACC
rnacentral:rRNA from 1 species